GAUGAACGCUGGCGGCGUGCCUAAUACAUGCAAGUCGAGCGAACAGACGAGGAUCUUUCUCCUCUGACGUUAGCGGCGGACGGGUGAUUCACACGUGGAUAACCUACCUAUAAGACUGGGAUAACUUCGGGAAACCUGAUCUAAUACCGGAUAAUAUAUUGAACCGCAUGGUUCAAUAGUCAACGCCGGUUUUGCUGUCACUUAUAGAUGGAUCCUCGCCGCAUUAGCUAGUUGGUAAGGUAACGGCUUACCAAGGCAACGAUGCGUAGCCGACCUGAGAGGAUGAUCAGCCACACUGGAACUGAGACACGGUCCAGACUCCUACGGGAGGCAGCAGUAGGGAAUAUUCCGCAAUGGGCGAAAGCCUGACGGAGCAACGCCGCGUGAGUGAUGAAGGUCUUCGGAUCGUAAAACUCUGUUAGUAGGGAAGAACAAAUGUGAAAGUAAAUAUGCACGUCUUGACGGUACCAAAACAGAAAGCAACGGCUAACUACGUG
rnacentral:rRNA from 1 species